rnacentral:misc_RNA from 1 species
UCUCCGUUGGUGAACCAGCGGAGGGAUCAUUACCGAGUUUACAACUCCCAAACCCAAUGUGAACCAUACCAAACUGUUGCCUCGGCGGGGUCACGCCCCGGGUGCGUCGCAGCCCCGGAACCAGGCGCCCGCCGGAGGGACCAACCAAACUCUUUCUGUAGUCCCCUCGCGGAUGUUAUUUUUACAGCUCUGAGCAAAAAUUCAAAAUGAAUCAAAACUUUCAACAACGGAUCUCUUGGUUCUG